rnacentral:sRNA from 1 species
UCUCUCCUCCCUUGCCGUUUUUUUUUCAUCCUUUGUUUAAUACACAUUUUAUUUUUUAUUCACUAUUAAUCUGAUUUUUUUUAUUUUGUUAUAGUUGUCGAGAUAGCCCUGACGUCAUCACAGUUUACGAUGGUCUGGAUGAAAGUACUCCAGUAAUUGGACAAUUUUGUGGCGUACACAACUCUGAAGAAGUUAUAUCGACAGGAACCACUUUGAUAGUCACAUUUGUAUGUGACGAUCGCAAUCAAAAACAAGGCUUUUCUGCAAGCUAUGAAUUCAUUAAUAAGCAUGCAUCAAAGCAAAUCAAAUCUAUUAAAAAUGAAUCCAAUCCAACAGUGCCCACAUCAAGCUCUCGUAAGUUAGUUGUACAUAAUACUAUUCUUGUGGCAUAUUGUGCCGAAGAGUCUUCACAUUAAAUUAGGUUGAGACUUUUUACACUGCAUUUCAGGACAACGUCGUAAUGGCAACGAGUAUUUGUAGGCUGUAGGUCUCUGGCUGUUCCUUCUUAUACCUCUUUAAUUCUUACAAUAGCUGCUUAGCUUUCUUUUGCCUGCCAUUUCUACUUUAUGAAAGUUGAUCUGUGUUAUUAUUAUAGUCUCAAUUGAGCAGCAACGCAUGGGUUAGUUUGAGUUAUAUCCACUCAAUAUUUUAGAGCAUUUGUAAAGUGAAGGGGCUUGCUUUUCUCCCACUUCGUCUCCGUGGGAACAGCAUUGAAUUCAGUUGAGUCAGUCUCUUCUUCACGAACUUGUGAUCUGGUGAUAAUGGGUGCAGAAAUGCUGGGCUACGGUGACGUUCCUACGAAAACAUAUCGGUAAUAGAUCAAAAGCUGGUGAUUUCAUAACUAUUGACUGACUCAACAUUUAUUAAACCCAUAUUUUGUAUGGAUUUCUGUAGCCUCGCCCAUGUAAUAGUCUGAUUUACCAGAGAUUCCCGCACCAUAGCCGCUAUCGGGCACCCAGUGUCCAUUAGAGCUCUCCCGUUGACUAGUAAUUUUUUAGAUGUUGGUGUAAUGAGAAGAUUCCCCUGGGUCGUUGGUGACGGUGGCCUAAUAUAGGGGCCUCAGCAUCGCUUGGUGCUGCUGUAGAUAUGCUAUUUAGGGUUUGCACUGGCUUACCCAUGAUCCGAAAAUCUUCGUGUCGUGUGAAUUAGUCUUACGGAUCAUACGCCAUACUUUAGUGGGGCAAAGCGGUUUUAAGUAGUGUGAACGAGAUUGAUGUACCUGGUUGUUGGGCUGCGUUGUUGUUGUUUUUACAGAGAGGGGUUGACUCUUGGUCCGUUUAGUCGGAGUUUUAAGUCUUCCGUUUUUUUGUCUAAAUGUCUCGUCUGGGAGCUAGAUAUUUGUGCCCUAAAUGUCUCCAAUGAAGAAGACGUUGAAAUCAGCCUGUUCCUCGUCACCAAUGUUAGCAAAACAUUUGUCUUCAGCAUCAAUGUAAAAAGACAGAGCUGUUGCAUUAAGCUCCUCCAAAUAAAUCAGUCACAGAACCAGAUAUCCAUCAUAUUCUCAUAGAUGGCCAAAAACUAGCAAAUGUUAAAAAAUGUGUCUACUUGGGAAGUACCAUAUCAUCAAAUCAUGUAAGCGAUUUUUUCUUAAAAAUACACCAAUUCUAAAACAAUUACGUAAAUGUAAGGGAGGC